CAAAGGCUUGGUCCUGACUUUACUAUCAGCUUUAACCCAACUUAUACAUGCAAGUCUCCGCAUCCCUGUGAGAAUGCCCUCAAUCCCCUGCCCGGGGACGAGGAGCAGGCAUCAGGCACAUCUUUUGAAGCCGCGCCCAAGACGCCUUGCUACGCCACUCCCCUAAGGGAACUCAGCAGUAAUAGACAUUAAGCCAUAAGUGUAAACUUGACUUAGUUAGGGUUAUCAGGGCCGGUAAAAUUCGUGCCAGCCACCGCGGUUAUACGAAAGGCCCUAGUUGCUAGCCACGGCGUAAAGGGUGGUUAAGGGCAAUUGUAAAUAAAGCUAAAGACCCCCUAAGCCGUCAUACGCAUUCCGGGGGCACGAAACCCUAGCACGAAAGUAGCUUUAAAAAUAUACCUGACCCCACGAAAGCUAAGAAACAAACUGGGAUUAGAUACCCCACUAUGCUUAGCCUUAAACCCAGAUGUACUCUUACACACACAUCCGCCCGGGUACUACGAGCACAGCUUAAAACCCAAAGGACUUGGCGGUGUCUCAGACCCACCUAGAGGAGCCUGUUCUAUAACCGAUAACCCCCGUUAAACCUCACCACUUCUUGUUAUUACCGCCUAUAUACCGCCGUCGUCAGCUUACCCUGUGAAGGUCUAACAGUAAGCAAAAUGGGCCCACCCAAAAACGUCAGGUCGAGGUGUAGCGUACGAAGUGGGAAGAAAUGGGCUACAUUUUCUACAACUAGAAUAUUAAACGAAUGGCACUAUGAAAAUUAUUGCCUGAAGGUGGAUUUAGUAGUAAAAAGCAAACAGAGUGUCCUUUUGAAUUAGGCUCUGAGACGCGCACACACCGCCCGUCACUCUCCCCUACACAUACCUAUUCCAUAUUCCUAAUACACCACACAUCAAUACGGGGAGGCAAGUCGUAACAUGGUAAGUGUACCGGAAGGUGCACUUGGAACAAU
rnacentral:ncRNA from 1 species